UCGAGAAUUUUUCACAAUGGGGGAAACCCUGAUGGAGCGACGCCGCGUGGGGGAUGAAUGGCUUCGGCCCGUAAACCCCUGUCAUUCGAGAACAAAUUGGUUCAAUUAACACCUGAACCAUUGAUAGUACCGGAAGAGGAAGGGACGGCUAACUCUGUGCCAGCAGCCGCGGUAAUACAGAGGUCCCAAGCGUUGUUCGGAUUCACUGGGCGUAAAGGGUGCGUAGGCGGUCGGGUAAGUCUGAUGUGAAAUCUCACAGCUUAACUGUGAAACUGCAUUGGAUACUAUUCGGCUUGAGAGUUGGAGGGGGGACUGGAAUUCUUGGUGUAGCAGUGAAAUGCGUAGAUAUCAAGAGGAACACCAGUGGCGAAGGCGAGUCCCUGGACAACUUCUGACGCUGAGGCACGAAAGCUAGGGGAGCAAACA
rnacentral:rRNA from 2 species